GGAGUCUUGGCGCAAUGGUAGCGCGUUGGUUUUCGGUUUCUGCCUGAAAAACACCAAAGGUUGUGGGUUCGAGCCCCAUGGACUUCG